rnacentral:rRNA from 1 species
GACGAACGCUGGCGGCGUGCUUAACACAUGCGAGUCGAACGGAAAGGCCCUGCUUUUGUGGGGUGCUCGAGUGGCGAACGGGUGAGUAACACGUGAGUAACCUGCCCUUGACUUUGGGAUAACUUCAGGAAACUGGGGCUAAUACCGGAUAGGAGCUCCUGCUGCAUGGUGGGGGUUGGAAAGUUUCGGCGGUUGGGGAUGGACUCGCGGCUUAUCAGCUUGUUGGUGGGGUAGUGGCUUACCAAGGCUUUGACGAGUAGCCGGCCUGAGAGGGUGACCGGGCACAUUGGGACUGGGAUACGGCCCAGACUCCUACGGGAGGCAGCAGUGGGGAAGAUUGCACAAGGGGCGGAAGCCUGAUGCAGCAACGCCGCGGGCGGGAGGACGGUCUUCGGGUUGGAAUCCGAUUUCGCCUGUGACGAAGCGGGAGUGACGGUAAUGGGUAAAGAAGCACCGGCUAACUACGGUC